rnacentral:rRNA from 1 species
UACAGAGGGGGCAAGCGUUAUUCGGAAUUAUUGGGCGUAAAGGGCGCGUAGGCGGCUUUUCAAGUGACGGGUGAAAUCCCUCGGCUUAACCGAGGAACUGCCUGUCAGACUGGAAGGCUUGAGACCGGGAGAGGUGAGUGGAAUUCCCAGUGUAGCGGUGAAAUGCGUAGAUAUUGGGAGGAACACCGGUGGCGAAGGCGGUCUUCUGGACGGUGACUGACGCUGAGGCGCGAAAGCGUGGGGAGCAAACGGG